rnacentral:lncRNA from 1 species
UCUGGUUUGGGCUCCUCGUCCGAUAUGUUGAUGACCUGUACGAGCGCCGGUGCUGGUGCAGGUGCUGGUGUCGGUGUUGUCUCCUGCUCCACGGGCACGGCGUCCUCGUCAGUCUCAUCCCCCGGGUGCUGGAAGUAGUAGACCUCUUCUUCCUCCUCUUCUCUAGGCUCCAUGGGGUGAUACGAUGUGAUGCCGUGACGCGGGGGACGGGUCCUCUUGCGUGCUGUCAACCGAGUGCGAG